UACGUAGGGUGCAAGCGUUAAUCGGAAUUACUGGCGUAAAGCGUGCGCAGGCGGUUGUGCAAGACAGAUGUGAAAUCCCCGGGCUCAACCUGGGAAUUGCAUUUGUGACUGCACGGCUAGAGUGUGUCAGAGGGGGGUAGAAUUCCACGUGUAGCAGUGAAAUGCGUAGAGAUGUGGAGGAAUACCGAUGGCGAAGGCAGCCCCCUGGGAUAACACUGACGCUCAUGCACGAAAGCUGG
rnacentral:rRNA from 1 species